GCUUGUCUCAAAGAUUAAGCCAUGCAUGUUCAAGUAUAGCAAGUGUACAGUGAAACUGCGAAUGGCUCAUUAAAACAGUUACAGUUUAUUUGAUGGUCGUUCCUUACAUGGAUAACUGUGGUAAUUCUAGAGCUAAUACAUGCACCCGUGCCCGACUUUGUGGAAGGGUUGUGUUUAUUAGUUACAGAACCAGCCCAGGCUCUGCCUGGUCUUGUGGUGAUUCAUAAUAACCGAACGAAUCGUAUGGCAUCAGCUGGCGAUGAAUCAUUCAAGUUUCUGACCUAUCAGCUU
rnacentral:rRNA from 1 species